GGCGCAGCCUGAUGCAGCGACGCCGCGUGAGGGAUGACGGCCUUCGGGUUGUAAACCUCUUUCAGUAGGGAAGAAGCGAAAGUGACGGUACCUGCAGAAGAAGCACCGGCUAACUACGUGCCAGCAGCCGCGGUAAUACGUAGGGUGCGAGCGUUAUCCGGAAUUAUUGGGCGUAAAGAGCUCGUAGGCGGUUUGUCGCGUCUGUCGUGAAAGUCCGGGGCUUAACCCCGGAUCUGCGGUGGGUACGGGCAGACUAGAGUGCAGUAGGGGAGACUGGAAUUCCUGGUGUAGCGGUGGAAUGCGCAGAUAUCAGGAGGAACACCGAUGGCGAAGGCAGGUCUCUGGGCUGUAACUGACGCUGAGGAGCGAAAGCAUGGGGAGCGAACAGGAUUAGAUACCCUGGUAGUCCAUGCCGUAAACGUUGGGCACUAGGUGUGGGGACCAUUCCACGGUUUCCGCGCCGCAGCUAACGCAUUAAGUGCCCCGCCUGGGGAGUACGGCCGCAAGGCUAAAACUCAAAUG
rnacentral:rRNA from 1 species